CUGCCAUCGUUGCAGCCUUGGCAACAACAGAGAUACUACAAAUAAACCUCAUUAAAUGACAAGAAUUUGAAAACCCCAUGGAAAUAUGAAAGAAAAGAAGCAAUGAAGUGAGCAAUUAUGUUUGGUCCUAAAGAAAAACAGAACUUGUUUCAAAUACCAGAAUCGGGAGGUCUCAGCCAUCCAAGGAUGGAUUGCACUGGUGCAGUGCACUCAGCCUGCCCCAACAACAUUGCAGAGCCGGCUGAGCUGCUGGCAUUUUCUGUAGCUGGAGUCUUACUCUGAAACCAUACCAGUAGCCUCAGGCAUCCUUUGCACAACCCCUUCCAGAGGAGGUGAGGGACCAAGACCUCAGUGAACUGAAAUCCGUGGAUGAGAUCCUCUGCUUACACAUCUCUGUGCAUCCGUGCAGGUUUGGAUAAAGCUGCCACAGUUUACAUGUAUCUGUCUCAUGGAGCCAAGUUCAGGCAUAAUUGAAGCUCUGACAGCUUGCAGUACUUGAGUGUGGUGACAUCAGCUUUGGCCUUGUGUCAU
rnacentral:lncRNA from 1 species